rnacentral:rRNA from 1 species
UACAGAGGUCUCAAGCGUUGUUCGGAUUCAUUGGGCGUAAAGGGUGCGUAGGCGGCGCGGUAAGUCGGGUGUGAAAUCUUGGAGCUUAACUCCGAAACUGCAUUCGAUACUGCCGUGCUUGAGGACUGGAGAGGAGACUGGAAUUCAUGGUGUAGCAGUGAAAUGCGUAGAGACUCAUGAGGAAGACCAGUGGCGAAGGCGGGUCUCUGGACAGUUCCUGACACUGAGAACACGGAAGGCCAGGGGAGCAAACGGG